GACGUAGGGCGCGAGCGUUGUCCGGAAUUAUUGGGCGUAAAGAGCUCGUAGGCGGUUUGUCGCGUCUGCCGUGAAAGUCCGGGGCUCAACUCCGGAUCUGCGGUGGGUACGGGCAGACUAGAGUGAUGUAGGGGAGACUGGAAUUCCUGGUGUAGCGGUGAAAUGCGCAGAUAUCGUAAGGAAGACCAGUGGCGAAGGCGGGUCUCUGGACAGUUCCUGACACUGAGGCACGAAGGCCAGGGGAGCAAACGGG
rnacentral:rRNA from 1 species